UCCUGGUUUACUCAGUUGGUAGGGCACUCCACUGGAAAUGGAGUGGUUCCUGUUUCAACCCCAGGACCAGGCG
rfam:Ixodes scapularis strain Wikel colony gcontig_1108378547388, whole genome shotgun sequence.